rnacentral:tRNA from 1 species
GUGGUGGCUCAGUGGUAGAGCACUUGCCUCGCACAUGUGAGGUCCUGAGUUCAAUCCUCAGCACCACA